CACAUCAUGUCCUCAACACCAGCAAUAACCGUGAAAACUUUGCAGGUGUGCCAUGAAGAAAUAUUGUUUUCUUGGUAAUGAUUUUGACCUCACAGGACUGCAAGUAUUCAGGAUGAGGCUCCUAUCAAAGAUUUCAAUGCACCUGACAUGAAUGGUCAUCAAGGCAGGGACAUUUCUGACAUUCAGGUGAGCAAUAAAGACAUAAUGGUGUCUGACUGUGGCAUAGACCUUGGUCUGCUGCAAGAUCCCAGGUAGGUUUGAUGGGACCUACAAUGAUGGAAAUGCACAAGGUUAUCUCCCAUGUCCUGGUAGAGAGGGUUAUCCAUUGACCCAUUUGUCACAGUGUGUUUUUCAUUGAUCUUAGCCAAAACGCUGAGAAGUGAUGUCACAAUGUGUUUUUCAAGGUCCUUUACAGAAAUCAGAGUGAACCUCAUUAUGAUCAAUAAGACUUUGCUUUUUCCAGAUAAGUGAUGAUGUGGGCCUUCACCCUGGAAACCGUCUAACCCUCUGAUAUGUGGGUUAUGGUUGCCAGUCAUGUUACAGUGACCCUAGUCGUGGUCAUUAAUGGGACCCUGCUAGUCACCUGGAAGGGAUAUUGUGGCCGUCACACUGUAGUUGAGAUCAACUGUUCUUCAGAUGUCUAGGGAAGUGAGGAUGUGGUCCCAAACACUAACCACAGCGUUCCCAUGUCUUCUCUGCAGAUAUCAUGGUAAAGUCUUUGCUGUUGCCCAGGUAUGUGAUUAACUCAUUAGACCUCCCUAUUUUCAAAUUGGUAUGUAAUUAAUGAGGUUUUAAAUAUUCUCACAUUACCCAUAUUUCUUGCUUGUAUGCAGUAAAAUUAAUUUAUCCCCAGCAAUACUAGUAAUGUAUACCAUUUUACCAUAUUCUUGUUCAGGGAUUGUGUUUUGCAUACUCCAUUUGAUAAAAAGAUAGGCAGAUAGCCAGAUAAACUAUCAUAUUGUCCAUCUUCACAAUAUCGAGCAUGGAAUGUUUAUAGGUAUCUCUUAAGAAAAGAAAGCAUUUCUUACCAAAGUUAGUCUUGCACUUCUCCAAGUAUCCAGCCAAUCGUGAUGAAUCUCAAGAUGACACACUUGACCAGUGGAUUCUGCAGUAGAUCAGGUAGAAUAAGGCAUGUAGGAAUUUCUGAUUGAUAGGCUCCCCCAUAUUUCAUGAGGCAUAGAAGCAUCUAGGUGAGUGAUGAUGUGGGCCUAAAUCACAGCACAGACCAUCUGAUCCUAAUAUGUAGGUAAGUGAUUGUGUCCCCAACACUUCUGUUUCUAUGAUUUUGUUGCUGGUAUUCAGCUAAGAAAUGAAAUGAUAGAGUCCUUACCUAGUGUAGCGACUAUGACUUUACAGUUUU